rnacentral:rRNA from 1 species
CCAAUAGCGUAUAUUAAAGUUGUUGCAGUUAAAAAGCUCGUAGUUGAAUUUCGGGAUCAGUACGCCGGUCGUGCCUCCGGUAUGUACUGGUGUCACUGAUUCCUCCCUUCUGAAGAACCAUCAUGCCAUUCACUUGGUGUGGUGGGGAAUCAGGACUGUUACUUUGAAAAAAUUAGAGUGUUUAAAGCAGGCUCACGCUUGAAUACAUUAGCAUGGAAUAAUGAAAUAGGACGUUGAUCCUAUUUUGUUGGUUUCUAGGAUUGACGUAAUGAUUAAUAGGGAUAGUUGGGGGCAUUAGUAUUCAAUUGUCAGAGGUGAAAUUCUUGGAUUUAUUGAAGACUAACUACUGCGAAAGCAUUUGCCAAGGAUGUUUUCAUUAAUCAAGAACGAAAGUUAGGGGAUCGAAGACGAUCAGAUACCGUCGUAGUCUUAACCAUAAACUAUGCCGACUAGGGAUCGGAUGAUGUUAAUUUUUUAAUGACUCAUUCGGCGCCUUACG